AUUGAACGCUAGCGGGAUGCCUUACACAUGCAAGUCGAACGGAGUGGCGAACGGGUGAGUAAUGUAUCGGAACGUGCCCAGUAGCGGGGGAUAACUACGCGCAAGCGUAGCUAAUAACGCAUACUUUUUGAGCGGACGAUAACGGAUUGCCUAGGUGGUGGGGUAACGGCUCACCAAGGCGACGAUCCUUAGCUGGUUUGAGAGGACGACCAGCCAAACUGGAACUGAGACCCGGCCCAGACUCCUACGGGAGGGAGCAUUGGGGAAUGUUGGACAAUGGGGGAAACCCUGAUCCAGCCAUCCCGCGUGUGCGAUGAAGGCCUUCGGGUUGUAAAGCACUUUUGGCAGGAAAGCGGUACCUGAAGAAUAAGCACCGGCUAACUACGUGCCAGCAGCCGCGGUAAUAC
rnacentral:rRNA from 1 species